AUUGAACGCUGGCGGCAGGCCUAACACAUGCAAGUCGAACGGAGUGGCGGACGGGUGAGUAAUGUCUGGGAAACUGCCUGAUGGAGGGGGAUAACUUCUGGAAACGGGCGCUAAUACCGCAUACUAUCAGAUGAGCCUAGAUCGGAUUAGCUAGUUGGUGGGGUAAAGGCCUACCAAGGCGACGAUCCGUACCUGGUCUGAGAGGAUGAUCAGGAACACUGGAACGGAGACACGGGCCAGACUCCUACGGGAGGCAGCAGUGGGGAAUAUUGGACAAUGGGCGAAAGCCUGAUCCAGCCAUGCCGCGUGUGUGAAGAAGGUCUUCGGAUUGUAAAGCACUUUAAGUUGGGAGGCGUUACCAACAGAAUAAGCACCGGCUAACUUCGUGCCAGCAGCCGCGGUAAUAC
rnacentral:rRNA from 1 species